rnacentral:lncRNA from 1 species
GCACAGGCCGGCCCUCUCGCGGGACUCAGUUUCCCCGUCUGCGCGCCCCACAUAUUCGCUUUCCGCAGGUUCUCUCGCUGAGAUUCGCGUCCUUCAAACUAAUGGAACUUUGCAAGGGGGCCCUGCGGCGGCUUCGCGUGGGAGCGCCGGGGAAAGUUCCUGCAAAUCGCCGGACUGGGGGCCCGCCCGGGAAGCUCGGACUGGGCCGGGCAGGGACUGCAGGGGCCUCUGCGCAGACCCGGGGCGUUGCGGCACCGCGGACCCCGGUCACGCGCUGGUUCUGCCCCCGGUACCCCGCACGCGGGACCCUGACCGCGGGGCCUCUGCGGCCGGACGAAGGCAGCGUCCGCGGAGCUGGCAGAAAGCCCGCGCCCAGACCCACAGUGAAGUGAUAAAAGCAGAGAGCAGAAAGGAGAAAACUGAGGGCCAGAAAGGGUGACUCCCCUGAGUGUCAUGCCACAAGUUGAGUGCUGGAGCCAGGACACCUUCCAAACCGGCUGUGCCUGCCUGCAAGCCCCAUCCUCCUCCAUCCCCCUGAGCAGCCAGACUGCAGAGGGAAUGAGCGGACCGAAAACAGUGUGGCCGCAACUUCCCCACUGCUUUGCGGGAGGUGGAGGGAGUUUCUAGGCUCUUUCCCUGUUGGGGAAUUAAGUAGCUGGGGAUCCCACUGAGUCUCCACCACCCUCUCACCCAUUUUCCACCCCUCCCCCACCACAUAUACAUUCUGCUCCCCCAGUGCCAAAUAACUUGCAUUUUCUGGAACACACCUGUCUGCUUACGGUCUCUGUGCCUUUCUUUGCCCACAUCUCCCCUCUUCUUGAAACACCCCUCCUCCCCUCCAGCGUGGGCUCAUGUGACCUAGAGAAGCACGUGGGAGCCCUGUCAUCUGGGGGACUUGGGUUCAAAUCCCACUUCUGGUCCUUAAGUCUGUGACUCUGGGCCUUUGUUUAAUAACUGGAGGAGUUUCAUUAGGAAAAUGGCAGUGACCACAUAUGUCCCUGGAGUGACUGAUGUGCCACCCACAAGCUUCUAUUUGGUCAGUGCUGGGUCCCAUCGUCCCAUCUAGCAUGCUCCUCUUCCAUCCUCGUGCCCCCACUCAGUGCCAUUGUCUCUGCCUCUCACCCUCUGUGCUGCUAUUCCUGCCCUCAUCACCUCCUCCCUAGGGCAGAGGCCCCGUCUUCUUUACCAUGCCCCAGUGCCAGCACAGUGCUUUGGCAAGUUAUUCAGCACUGGGGGAGUAGAGUGUAUGUGUGGUGGGGGAGGGGGUGGAGAAUGGGUAAGAGGGUGAUGGAGACUCAGGGGGACCCCCAGCUACUUAAUACCCCUGAGGAAGUGUCGGCCGAAGUGGACCCACUCCUGUGACAGUUCACAGCCUAGAAGAGGCGUCUGUAACCACGGUGACCAGCACCGGUUAUGAAGAAGACAAGCAGCUCUACAGAGGGGCCUCAAGAAAUCCUUCGAAACAGAAAUCAAAGUCUUGCUGGAAGGGUUCUGGGCACCCUGGACUGUCCACAUGGGAGGCUGUUGGUGCGUGUGCCUACGUGUGUCCAUCAGUGGAUGCACGAAGAAGGAAAUGAAUUGAUUCCAUUCUUGAUGUGACUUUCAGCUGUCAGCUGUCUGCACUCCCAGACGGGGUGAUGGCCUGGCACCAACGGAGCAUUACCCUGAUGAAUCAUGGUCGAGGUACUUUUCCACUGGGCCAGCCGCCACAGCCCCUUCUCCAUCCUUCGGAGAGCUCUGUCACCUCGCCUUGUAGCACUUGUGUCUCUCCCACUGGCCUCCACUUCUUGUGGGCACUUUCUGGAUGCCCAGGCCUAAUCCAGCGCUGGCACUCAGUUAAUUCUCUCUUCCUUUAAAGGGAACAAUUACCACCUUGAGGAAGGAGGCCUGAAAGCUAAGUCUUUGCUAUUGCAUCCGCCUUCUUCUCACGAAGACCUGCAGCUUGAAAGGAGGGGAGGGAGAAAUAGCCCUAAGCUCCAGGAAGACCAAGCCCAGCCUCUGUGAUGAUUCCGAGGAAAUUCAGGAAAUCCUUGCUAAUGGCCAAACUUCCCGGGUUUGAGAUGCAAAAGGAAAUCAGAUCGCAGGGUAAUGCUUUUACACUAAGCAAGAAAUUGCAGGAUAUAAAGCUGUGCAGACCAUUGCCUCUGAUUAAGAAAGCGAUUCUGAGAUUCCAGCCUGGAAGGAACCGGGCCCCAGUGUUAACUGUGGUUAAUUCUGGGUGGAGGGGUGAUGGGUGAUAAUUUCUCCUUUUUCUUUUCUGUACUAACCAUUAAUACUGGGGGGAUGGGCAGUUAAAAAUCAAAGGAAGAAAACAUAAAGAAAGCCAAAUCCUUUUCCAUCUGUAGCCAUUCAAGCUACUGCCUGGACACGCUCUCCUUGAAGCUGGGGCUCCUCUCUCAGCCCCACCUAACAUGGCCCACCUCCUUCCUGGGGUCACUCCGUGUUCCUCAAGCACUUCAAACUCAUCCUCUCCUGCCUCUGAGCUGAGCAUAUGGGCCUCUCCCCUUCCUUUAAAAGCUCCAUCCGUGACUGCCUUCUGGGGGUCAGCCACAUAGCUGAGUGAGGACCACAUGCUUCACACCAAAUGAUACAAGAAGCUUGUUCCAAAUCUAUGUGGGUUUUUUGACAUUUUAGAGAGCAGAUGCUUUCCCAUGCUUUCUAAUUCCCUAUUACAUCUAUACAUCUCUUUUAAAAGAUCCUGCAAGUCCUUUUAGUGUCUGGACACAGGUUAUUCCCUCCCUUUCUUUUUUCCCAAUUUCACCUGCCCCAGUCCUCCUGGUCAGUGCUUCUGUUUCCUGCACAAGGAAACAGCCUUGCAAACAUGGUGAACCCUGAAAGCAUGCUGGAAAUGAAAGAAGCCAGGUACAAAAGACAACAUACUAUAUGAUUUCAUUCACAAGAAAUGUGUGUAACAGAAAAAUUUACAGAGACAGAAAAUAAAUUCCUAGUUGCUUAGGGCUGGGAGAGUGGGGUGAGGCCUCUCUACAGAGAUGGCAAUGCCCAGGAUUCAAUCUGAAGAUGUUGUUUAGAUAUCACAGCAUAGUCGGACAAUAGUGAGGACAGUCUGGCAUUGGCGUACAGAUGAACAAAUAGAUUUGUGCAAUAGAAGAAGCCAAACCAGAUUCCAGCCUACCUCCAGUCACCUGAUUUAACAAAGUCAAAGUCACAAAUCAAUAGGGAGAGGAUGGUCUUUUCAGUAAAUGAUACCGUAUCAAUUGACUCGUCAUAUACAGAACAAAAUGAACUUUGGUCCCAUACACACACAAGUCAUAAAAGUUCACUCAAAGUGAAUGAUAGACCUACAUUUGAAAACAAAAGCAAUGCAGGAUCCAGGAGAAAGGGUCCAGGCAGGAGAAUAUUUUUAUGACCUUGGACUAAGCAAGAGAUUCAUAAACAGGACACAAAACCACUAACCACCAAAAAAAAGGACUGAUAAACAUGACAAUUAAAAUGAAGAAUUUAU